AAUUAAGAUACAAGCAUCAAGUGUAGCGAAUGACUCGUUUGUAUUUUUUUCUUUUUUUGAGAGAGAUAGGUAGCAUGCUAUCUAUUUGUUUAUUUCAUUUAGAAAUAAAUUUAGCUGAAAAUGUGAAUCAACUAAAAUUUAAAUUUGAAUCUCGGAUAUCAAUCACCAAGUCCUUUGCCACUUCCUCUAGGGACGAUUGAAUUAUUCUGAAUAACACCUUAGAUAUAUAUAAUACGAAAUUCAAUCAUCAAUAAAAAUAAUAUUUGUUACAUCUUAUGCGGUUAGAUCGUAUUCGAAUGUCGACAUAAGGUAUUCAGUAAUCACUAUAAGUUUAAUUUUUAUUCCUUAAAAAAAUUUAAUUAAUAUUCGUAUAUAUUUGAUCAGAUAGUAUAUUUUAUCUAUAAAAUAAUUUAUUUUAUUUUUUAUAAAUCGAAUAUACUAUUUCAAUC
rnacentral:lncRNA from 1 species